GUUGACCUCGAAUCAGGUAGGACUACCCGCUGAACUUAAGCAUAUCAAUAAGCCGG
rnacentral:rRNA from 1 species